rnacentral:rRNA from 1 species
CAGCAGCCGCGGGAAUACGGAGGGAGCUAGCGUUGUUCGGAAUUACUGGGCAUAAAGCGCGCGUAGGCGGUUACUCAAGUCAGAGGUGAAAGCCCGGGGCUCAACCCCGGAACUGCCUUUGAAACUAGGUGACUAGAAUCUUGGAGAGGUCAGUGGAAUUCCGAGUGUAGAGGUGAAAUUCGUAGAUAUUCGGAAGAACACCAGUGGCGAAGGCGACUGACUGGACAAGUAUUGACGCUGAGGUGCGAAAGCGUGGGGAGCAAACAGGAUUAGAUACCCCCGUAGUCCCUGUCUCUUAUAC